rnacentral:rRNA from 1 species
AUUGAACGCUGGCGGCAGGCCUAACACAUGCAAGUCGAACGGUAACAGGAAGCAGCUUGCUGCUUCGCUGACGAGUGGCGGACGGGUGAGUAAUGUCUGGGAAACUGCCUGAUGGAGGGGGAUAACUACUGGAAACGGUAGCUAAUACCGCAUAACGUCGCAAGACCAAAGAGGGGGACCUUAGGGCCUCUUGCCAUCGGAUGUGCCCAGAUGGGAUUAGCUAGUAGGUGGGGUAACGGCUCACCUAGGCGACGAUCCCUAGCUGGUCUGAGAGGAUGACCAGCCACACUGGAACUGAGACACGGUCCAGACUCCUACGUGAGGCAGCAGUGGGGAAUAUUGCACAAUGGGCGCAAGCCUGAUGCAGCCAUGCCGCGUGUAUGAAGAAGGCCUUCGGGUUGUAAAGUACUUUCAGCGGGGAGGAAGGGAGUAAAGUUAAUACCUUUGCUCAUUGACGUUACCCGCAGAAGAAGCACCGGCUAACUCCGUG